rnacentral:rRNA from 1 species
UACGUAGGGACCAAGCGUUGUUCGGAUUUACUGGGCGUAAAGGGCGCGUAGGCGGCGCGGUAAGUCACUUGUGAAAUCUCUGAGCUUAACUCAGAACGGCCAAGUGAUACUGCAGUGCUAGAGUGUGGAAGGGGCAAUCGGAAUUCUUGGUGUAGCGGUGAGAUGCGUAGAUAUCAAGAGGAACACCUGAGGUGAAGACGGGUUGCUGGGCUGACACUGACGCUGAGGCGCGAAAGCCAGGGGAGCAAACGGG